AGGACUCAUUAACCAGAACUGUGGCAGAUAGCUACCCUUUGCUGCAAGGGAGGAAGAGAAAGUGAAUAUUUCACUCGGCAAAAGAGAAAAGUUGGGAAUGUCUGUUGGUUAGCCAUAAGUAUACAUAGAAAGAGCACCUGUUUGCCAUACUCUGUCCUUCAUGAUCCAUUCCUGUUUAUCCCUUACCUGGAUCUCUCUCCCAUGCCUAUUCAUUCAACUAAUAUUUAUUUAGUACAUUCUAUGUGCUAGCUUUUAAGACAUAAUCCCAGGCUCCUAAAGACCUGUAGUCUGAAGCAGCAGACAGCUAGGUAAAGAAGCAAUUAAAAUAUGUCAACUGUGUUAGGAUAGUGAGAAGCAUUGAUUGCUACGGGCAAAUACCUGGCUAGUACUGGAAGAUAUGGGGAAGUUUCCUGAGAUGAAAUAACAUCUAAACCAAGACAUGAAGGUCAUGGAAGGAUCUACCAGAUGAAGAAGUGCAGAAGACAAGACAUAGUCUGGAUCCUCAAGAAGCUUAUCAUCUCAUUGCAAUUUCAUGACUUUAUGCAACCUCAGUGAACAAUGUGAAUUGGCUAUCAAUUACUCAAAGAAAAGAAUAUGUUUAUCACUAAUAUGUAUAUUAAGCCUAACAGUAAACCUGAACUUAAAAAGGUUUUCUUUUUCUAUGAAAAAAGACACACCAUAAUGUCAACUGAGCAUAUACAAAUAUCCAAUGUUGAAGAGAGAUUUGGACUCCUUGAGUUUUACAUAUCUAGAACAAGAUAAAUUUUACAUAGGUUUUGUGAAGCUCUAGUACAAUUGAAGAAUAAAAUUUCUCUUGCACUUA